UUCCCUCUCCAUCUCCCUCCCCCCUCCGGUACCGGCCGCUGCAUCCUUUCCUUCUCUCGCUGUCUCUCGUGACGUCCAGACCUCCAUCAUCAGGCCACUCGCUCCGCCCUUCACUUGGCUGGCCAUUCCCGAGGCAACGAGGUGACUCCAGGCUGACCUACGUAUAAGACGAGAGUAGAUGAGGAGAGGAGGAGGAGAGCAGACAGAAGAGAAGGAAUAGAAACAGAAGAACCAAGGAAGAGGUAAAGAAGAGCCGAGAUAGAAGAGAAGGAAGAAAAAUAGGUCCCCAAGUAGACGAAAUUUGAAAAAGGAAGAGGAAAGAAAGAUGAGGAGGAGAGCUGAGAUGGAAAAACAGAAACAAGAAGAACCAAAGAAGAGGGAGACAUUUCCCUUCACCCACCUUAUCAUGGGAUUAAGAAGACUCAGCUGUACCAAGAGACCUUUAUUAUAGCAGCAACAACAACAGUAGCAGUAGUAAUAUAUAUAGUAGUAGUAAUAGGAGUGGUAGUAGCAGUCAUACACUUUACACAUUAUGUGAUUGAUAUUCUCUCUCUCUCUCUCUCUCUCUCUCUCUCUCUCUCUCUCUCUCUCUCUCUCUCUCUCUCUCUCUCUCUCUCUCUCUCUCUCUCACA